rnacentral:lncRNA from 1 species
CGGAUUAUCGAAUGUUCACAACUUAUCAAGUCAUGGCUGUGCGUUACACAUGAGUGUGUCCCAAAAAAGUCCCCCUUUAGAAAUCACUCCAUGACUUGUGCGUUAUUAUACCUUUGGUACAUUACAACUUCCCUUCGUCCAAAUAAUUUAACACUUCGGUUACACUCUGUGUUAAGGUAUAAGUUGUUACGACAAAUACUGUAUUUUUAUUACUCGUUGCUCUGUAGUCAGUUGAACCAUUCUUACUCGAAAUGACAGUAAGACGAAUUGGUAAUUUGAAAUUUUUGUGUUGGGAAUUUAAAAUAGCUUCUAAAGGCCUGAUUCCACAGGCGUUUUUUCUCGGCGAAAUGCGAAAUAUUUCGCCUAUAUAAUGCGAAAUAUUUCGCAUUUCAAAAGAAACAGGCAAAAUAUUUCGCAUUUCGCCGAGAAAAAGCGCCCGUGGAAUCAGGCCUUAAGGUUACAGGACACCCUUUUUGGCG